rnacentral:tRNA from 1 species
GGUUAUUUAGUUUAAAAAAAACAAAUGUUUUGAAAACAUUAAAUAAAGAUAUCUUUAAUAAUCA